GUUUCAUUCCUCCACCCGAACCUAGCAGGAGGGAAGAAAAGGCGUGGCCAUAAAUCUGUAUCUCACACCGGACCACCGGUCACAGACUAGCUGCAACGAAGCCCGCUGGUUGUGCUGGGAGUGGAGAAAGUAGCGGCUGAGACAGGAGUGACUUUUCACUGCUGUGUUUUCAAUGCUGAAUAAAGGCCCGGGAAUGGCAGCAAAACCAGCUGAUCUGAGUGGAGUAACUUCCACGUACGAAUAUGAGACUGCUGAGAACCUGCAGAGGGAAGACGUCUCACUUUGUCCCCAUUUCCUGAUCCGACUGGUCUUCACACUCCAAACUCCACCUGAACCUCAGACCCACCUCGACUCAGUGCCUGUCCUUUCUAUCGCCGACCGAGAGUCUUCCUCUCCAGCAGAACCUGACACAGAGUCUGGUCUGGACUCACAGCAGACGUUUCAGAGAGAAAGCAGUUACUGCAUGAAACCUUUCUCUUUAUUAGAAAUGUUUGCAGGCGGACGAGCACGAUAAACCAAGACGGGGCUAAUUUUAUACCAACAGAGCUCCUCUGCACCAGGUCUGAUGUCUCCUCUGGACGGUUCUGCUCUUCUGAGACACUUCAGAGGACACAUAACAGGGCUUUUCUGACUUCAGUGCUUUGCAGAAGGGCAGAAUCUACCGACUGGACUGAAAAAGCACAGUUUUAAAGGGCAACAGUGACUAGCUAUGCAACCUUUCAUGAAGUGCAUGUUGUAAAUUGCUUCUAGCUGUGUUAAUUUGUACAUCUGGUGUAGUGAAAUGUUCUGGUGCAUAACGACAAUCAUAGUAAACUGUAGUUCAGUUGAUGGAAGGGCUCUCUGUCAUCUCACCUGUAAACUUUGGCUUUGAUAAACUUGAUAGAUCAGCUUUCACUCAUUCAACAGGAAUGUUUUGUGGCUAGAAUCAAAUAAAAGAUUUUUCUGUUG